rnacentral:miRNA from 1 species
AGCGAGGUUUAGCAAAGACGACGCGACGUCAACGAGGACGUGAAAAUGGCGUGAUAUGCCCAUCUAUGGAUGUGCCCACGCCAUUUUUACGCCAUUUUCACGUCCUCGUUGACGUCGCGUCGUCUUUGCUAAACCUAGCU